GACGAACGCUGGCGGCGGGCUUAACACAUGCAAGUCGAACGGAAAGGCCCUGCUUUUUUGGUGUUCUCGAUUGGCGAACGGGUGAGUAACACGUGAGUAACCUGCCCUUGACUUUGGUGUAACUUCAGGAAACUGGGGCUAAUACCGUAUAGGAUCUCCUGCUGCGUGGUGGGGGUUGGAAAUUUUCGGCUGUUGGGGAUGGAUUCGCGGCUUAUCAGCUUGUUGGUUGGGUAGUGGCUUACCAAGGGUUUGACGGGUAGCCCGCCCGAGAGGGUGACCGGCGACCAUGCGCCUGCGAGACGGCCCAGACUCCUACGGUAGGCAGCAGUGGGGAAUCUUGCACAAUGGGCGGACGCCUGAUGCAGAAACGCUGCGUGCGGGAUGACGGUCUUCGGGUUGUAAAACGCUUUAGCCUGUGACGAAGCGUGAGUGACGGUAAUGAGUAAAGAAGCACCGGCUAACUACGUG
rnacentral:rRNA from 1 species